CUCUAGAAGACAUCUGAAAGAGAUUAAAGAUUUAUCGGUGACGGAUGGGGAUGCGUCUGAUUAGCUUGUUGGCGGGGUAACGGCCCACCAAGGCAACGAUCAGUAGGGGUUCUGAGAGGAAGGUCCCCCACAUUGGAACUGAGACACGGUCCAAACUCCUACGGGAGGCAGCAGUGAGGAAUAUUGGUCAAUGGACGAGAGUCUGAACCAGCCAAGUAGCGUGCAGGAUGACGGCCCUAUGGGUUGUAAACUGCUUUUAUAAGGGAAUAAAGUGAGUCUCGUGAGACUUUUUGCAUGUACCUUAUGAAUAAGGACCGGCUAAUUCCGUGCCAGCAGCCGCGGUAAUACGGAAGGUCCGGGCGUUAUCCGGAUUUAUUGGGUUUAAAGGGAGCGUACGCCGGAGAUUAAGCGUGUUGUGAAAUGUAGACGCUCAACGUCUGCACUGCAGCGCGAACUGGUUUCCUUGAGUACGCACAAAGUGGGCGGAAUUCGUGGUGUAGCGGUGAAAUGCUUAGAUAUCACGAAGAACUCCGAUUGCGAAGGCAGCUCACUGGAGCGCAACUGACGCUGAAGCUCGAAAGUGCGGGUAUCGAACAGGAUUAGAUACCCUGGUAGUCCGCACGGUAAACGAUGGAUGCCCGCUGUUGGUCUGAAUAGGUCAGCGGCCAAGCGAAAGCAUUAAGCAUCCCACCUGGGGAGUACGCCGGCAACGGUGAAACUCAAAGGAAUUGACGG
rnacentral:rRNA from 1 species